AGCGUAGGUGGCGCUUUAAGUGAAAUGUGAAAGACCGGGGCCCAACCCCGGAACUGCAUUUCAUACUGGAGUGCUAGAGUACAGGAGGGGUAAUCGGAAUUCCUAGUGUAGCGGUUAAAUGCGUAGAUAUUAGGAGGAACACCAGAGGCGAAGGCGGAUUACUGGACUGCAACUGACACUGAGGCUCGAAAGCGUGGGGAUCGAACA
rnacentral:rRNA from 1 species